GAUCCCGCGAAGCUGGCCGACUCCUGAGGGGUGGGAUGCUUCAACCUCCAGGGCACAGAGAUUCCGAAACCUCCAGAGGCCUAGAAGGGCCCGAGGGUAAAGUUGAGAGUGGGGAGUCAGUGACACAGUUCCGUCUCCGCUGUGUUCCGAGGAGUGAGUCAGGACCUUUGGAUGAAGGUGAUAGCACACUCCCUUAGGAACAUCCUCAUCAAAACCAAGGAAGAGAUCAGGCAAGAUUUGUGCUGGGCAGAUUCUUUGGAGUGAGGCUGUGCUGGCCAGGUUGGCGGACCUCAUGGAACAGCAUCAGGAGGAGCUGGCCAUCAUUGAGGCUCUGGAUGCAGGUGCUGUCUGCACAUUGGCCAUGAAGAACCAUGUGGGCAUGUCCGUCCAGACCUUCUGCUACUUUGCUGGCUGGUGCGACAAGAUUCAGGGUCUGUGGCAUCAUCAUCCCCUGGAACUACCCCUGAUGCUGCUCUCCUGGAAGACGGCUGCCUGCCUGGCCCCGGAAACACAGUGGUGAUUGAGCCUGGUCAGCUCCAGGCCACGGGAGCAGUGACCAGAGGCACCAGGCGAGCUCCGAGCUGUUCUGUUGUAAACCAGUUAACUUCUGCAACUCCUUUCCCCAAAACAUGCCAUUUCUCUCUGCCUUCUGCUGGUUCAGACUCUUGUCUGAAUACAGGGAUCCAAACCACAGAUGGCAGGCAGCAGCAAGUGGGAGACUCUCGGGCAAGGAGUGGACCACAGGGAGGGGGGUGGAGACAGUCUGCACUGGGAGUCAGGGCCUUAGUCCUGCCUCUGGUACUGACAUGUGUGAUGAUCUUGGGCAAAUCCUCUAGGGCCGUCAAUUUCUUUCUUUCUUUCUUUCUUUUUUUAUUUAAAGUCAAUUAGACAACAUAUUUUUAGUUUUUGAUGUAGUGUUCAGUGAUUCAUUUCUCGCAUAUAAAACCCAAUACUCAUCACGAUACAUGCCCUCCUUAAUGCUCAUCACCCAGUUAUCCCAUCUUCCCACCCCCUCCCUUCCAGCAGCCCUCAGUUUGUUUCCAGAGUCAAGAGUUCUCAUGGUUUGUCUCCCUCUGAUUUCUUCCCAUUCAGCUUUCCAUCCUUUCUCCUAUGAUCCUCUGUGCUAUUUCUUAUGUUCUGCAUAUGAGUGAAAGCAUGUAAUAAUUGUCUUUCUCUGCUUGACUUACUUCACUUGGCGUUACACCCUCCUGUUCCAUCCCUGUUGAUGUAAAUGGUAGGUAUUCCUCCUUUCUGAUGGCCGUGCCAUAUCCCAUAGUAGAUAUGAACAAGAUUUUCUCUAUCCAUUCAUCUGUAGGAGGGCAUCUCAGCUCUUUCCAGUUUGGCUUUUGUGGACAUAUGGCCCUUCUUUUCACUACAUCUGUAUCUUUGGUGUAGAUACCCAGUAGUGCAAUUCUUGGGUCAUAGGCUAGCUCUAUUUUUAACUUCUUGAGGAACAUCCAUACUGUUUUCCAGAGUGGUUGCACCAGCUUGCAUUCCCACCAACAGUGUAACAGGGUUCCCCUUUCUCUGCAUCCUCGCCAACACCUGUCCUUUCCUGGCUUGCUCAUUUUAGCCAUUCUGACUGGUGUGAGGUGGUAUUUCACUGUGGUUUUGAUUUGUAUUUCCCUGAUGGUGAGUGAUGUGGAGCAUUUUGUCAUGUGUCUUUUGGGCCUUUGAUUUCUCAUCUGCAAAAACAGAAGGUUGUACUUCCUGGUGAACAUCCUAGAGAUGCUUUGUGAGUCUGGUGUUGGACUGAACGUGAAAUGAUUCAGCACGAAAGGGCAUUGAGAAGCACAGACGGCUCCGCAAGGGAGUGAAGCUCUUUCAGUCGUUUGUUUAUUCAUUCAUUUACUCUUGGUGCUGUGUGUGGUUGGUUGGCCCCCAUCUCUGCUCCUGUUCCUUGGGUUUCUUUCAGAGCACUUGUCAUAGGUCAUAAUUACAUUUUCAUUUUUAGGAUUUGCUGCCAUAGUAGAAGACUCUAAGUGUGUCUCUUUCAGCUAACAGAUGCACCAUGACACUUAGACCGUGAGUCUGGCAAAUAUUAGCCACUCAGUACUAAUUUGAGGAGUAAAAGAAGAAGUGCUUUCCCCUCCUCUGAAGAUUGCAGCAGUGAGUCAGCCAGCCUCCAUCUCGAGGCAGCGCACUCCAGGAUGGGAGAGUCGAUGUGUGUGCAUUUCAUGUUGCCACCCGGCAAGUGUGGGCUUGCCUUCAGGGGGGUUCAGAAAAAGAGCUUGGGAAUCCUGGGCAAGAAGAUAUCAGGCUCUGUCCAGGAAACUGGGACGGCCUCAAAGACGAGGAGGCACUUCAGCUGGCCCCGAGGUUUGGCAGGAGUUCAGUCUGAGCAGUGUGGAACCUCAGAAAGAGUAGUGUGAACAUAGGCACGGCCCACGUGAGGGUCCACGGGAAGUUCCUUCUAGGCCAUGCGAUGUAUGACUAUGUUCUAGAAAGAGACAGGCUUCAAAUGGAUGCUCCCCACCCCAGAUUGCGAAGGACCUUAAAUGUGUGGCCGCAAAAUCUCAACUUUCUCAGGUAAUGAGCUGACAGCUCUUGAGGAUAUUUGGGCAAGCGGGUGACUUGGAGAUGUGAUGUCAAAUGUGAAUGUGAAGAACAUGUAUUACUUCUGGUGGACAGAUGGGUGAGGGGCUAGUAAGGGCCCUGCUGAAGGUGGUGUCCAUGAGCUGGAGAGGAGGGGACAGGCAUGGCAGAAACAUGGGGAUGAGCAGGUUGGGUGUGGUGUUGAGGUGGGUGGGGGAUGGGUGAUAGGAAAGGGUUUUGGUUUUCUGGCAGAACCAUUCACUGAGGCAGGAGGCUUGGGAGAGGGGUUGGAAGGAAUGAUCAUGGAGGACUAACUGAGUUACAUGGGAGUUACACGGAACCUGAGAACUCAGGGGAAGCUUGGUAAUUAUUAGUUUAUCUGAGAUGGGGAAAAUAAAGAGUGGGGACAUGGCUCCCUAGAUGUCCCUGUUACCUACUACCAUGCCGCACACCACACCCAAAUUUAGUGGCUUGUUUCAAGCCAGUCAUUCAGUUAGAUCAUCAAUCUGCAGUUUGGGUAGGGCUUUGUGAGAAUGGAUGUCUGCUCUGUUGCUGUGUCUGCUGUGGUGGCUUGCUAACCACAGGCUAGCUCACUACAUGACUUGACAGCUGCUGCUGGCUGUCCCUGGAAUUGCAGCAGGAACACCCUUAGGGGGCCUCUCCAUGUGACCACUUGGGCUCCUCACAGUGUGGUGUAUGGGUUUCAAGCAUGAGCAUUUUGGGAAAUGGGAAGCAGAGACUCAGUCUCUCAUGAACCAGACUGGCUUGGUGUCUAUUCACAAAUCAAAGGGAGGAAUGCCCAAGAUGGUUAGAGCUCAUUAUCACUGGCUCCAAGGAAAGGCUUAAAAAUACCCUUUGAAUGAAUGAGUAAAUGAAUUGUGUGAGGACAGAUGCAGAGAGAGGAAUAUCUGAGGCUCGAGGGAAACAGUUGUUGGAGGACGUUAGCUGGAGUUGGUGACGAGGUGGAUGGGCUUGAGGAAGUCAUUAGGAUCUAGAUUAGUGAGGAGCAUGAACUGCAGGCUACUGGGAUGGGAUCUGAGUGUGGGAUAGACUCUCCAACACAGGGGAAACAGCUACCUUGCCCAAGAGGAACAGGAGCAGAAGUUGAGGCCCAGAUCAAGGGCCUGGUCCAGGUGAAAUCCUCUUGUGUCAGUAGGUGAGUGUGCUUCUGACCUUGGGCUUCUUUUGACUGUGGCCAUGGCCUUUGUUCCAGCCAACCCUCAGGCCUGCCAUUCCGUCCCUGGCAUGUGGGGAGUACACAGGGCACCCCCAACAAUAGGAUCAUUGGCAGUCUGAGUUGAUGUUCCAGCCAAUUCUCUGGGUUGGGGCAGUUAGCAGGCAGGGUUGGUCUAACCUUUGUAGUGGAUGACAGUCCCUUUGGAAGCCUGUUUAUCAGCCUGCUGGGCCCUUAAGAGAGAACAGGACUGUGUUUUCUCCGUGAACACAGCUUCUUCAUAAGCCCAUGAGCCUUUGGACUCCGAAGUGAAGGUGAUCAUAAGACAUGGCUUCUUUCUUGGGUACCUGCAGCCCUCUUGACCUUGAGGAAUGAACUCCUCAGGGACCUGUGGGGCCUGUUAUACUGAGAUUUCUCCAGGCCCUUUUCUGCCAAGAGUAGAAGCAGCCUGGAGAGUCGAGGCAGCCUGGGGUGCCUGUGCAGAGGUUGGCAUUUGCGGGAGGCCCUCGGGGGAGCACACACUCUAGCACUCGCUUCUCCUGGUCUGUUUAUGCCCUGGGAUUGGCUCAGGUAAUGCUGUAUGAAUUGCUGAGGCUUUGCUUUGUCUGCCUAAACAUUUUUAUAGAGUUAGUCUGUGAUUUUAGACAAUAUACGUAAGUGAAGAAGAGAGAGUGCCCAUAAUCUCUGUCAACAUUUUGGUGUGUAUCUGUCUAGCACGUAUGGAAUCAUACUAUAUGAUGUAAUUUUUAGUGUGUGAAAUUAAGUUUACAUUUAGUUUGGCAGCCUGUGGGGACAUCCCAGCUAGUGUGGGUCUUUCUCAGUUCGACCCAGCAUCUCCUUCCUGACGGCUGUCUCCCAGUCUCAGGAUGAGGCUCGUGAUGCCUCCUAGCUGGCCUCCAUGUGCAUGGCUCAGCAGACGGCACACUCAACCCUUAUGGAUCCGGGACAGGCCAUUGUGUACUGGCCAGUACCAUUAGAAAGCAUUCACUUGGGGGGCUUGCAACGUGUAUACCCAUCUCUCCCACCUCAGAGCUUCAGCUGCUGCAGUAGUGUCUCAUGCCUUCCCUAAGACCCUUCUGGGGUUACUGCGGAGAAAGACUCUGCCCUGGGUCUCUCCUUUUUGACCUUCCAUAACUUCUCACAGAGCAUGGGUUUCAGCCCUCCACCACAUGGCAUGUCCCUUAGUGCCGCAGGCUGGGAGAAUAUCCAUCAAUGGGUUGGGGGGUAUCUUGGAAGAGUCCAGAAGAUUCAGUGGCAUGUGGGGGGAAGACAGGCUUGGGAUUGUGCCUGACCAUCAGUAGUGGUGGUGCAGAAGGGCAGUCCAGGAGGAGGUCUGGCCAGAGGGCAGAACAUCUUUCUGGACCUCUGUGCUGAGAUAACAUCUGUAAGGCUAGCAGGAAGAAAAAGGGGUGUCUUGGGAAGCAGGCCCAGAGCAUACAGGGGGAAGGCUGUCUGCAAAUCCAGGCCUUGAGCCAUCCAGCUUUAGAAGACCCAGCAGCUGGGAAAACAGGAAAGAUCCCCGGAAGACACACCUCAGUCCUUCUCCCCACUUUGCAAACAUGCAGUGCCUCCCGUGUAGAGUGAAGUUCAAGGGCACUCAGGUUUGUGUGGGUCCUGUGUGUGCACCAGCACCUCUCUGCUCAUGGCCACUCAGUGGUUCAGGAGACAGCUUUGCCAGCACUGUUUCACAGGGUAGUCCUGCAACACAGGAGAGUGACCUGGCUCCAGCUGUUCCCAGGCUGCUGCAUGUCAGGGCCUCAGGGCUUAUGAGCCUGCAGCAAGGAUGACCACCUGCAGGUAUGCCUUGCCGAUGUCCCUGGCACAGUGGGCUGGCCCCAAGGGCACUGGCCAGGUGCUGGCUUUGUCUUAUCUAGAUUUGGGGCCAGGGGUCUGUGUUCUCUGUUUAUGGGGUCUGGGUUUAGUCUGUCAUUGGGUCCAGGGUUUGGCGCCCAGUAAGUGGCCAGAGUAUCAGUUCUUUCUUUUUUCUUUUUUUGAAGAAUUAUGUUUUGUUACACAAGAAAGGAAAAUAUAAAUUUUUCUCUUUUUUACAAAAUAAAUAUCGCAGUUGAGGUAAGCCUUCAAUCUCAGCUUAUUUGUGGAGGAAGCCUCUAUUAUCAGGUCAUGUGUGUCCUUCAGAGUUUUGGGGGUGUACC